AGCAGCCGCGGUAAUUCCAGCUCCAAUAGCGUAUAUUAAAGUUGUUGCAGUUAAAAAGCUCGUAGUUGAAUUUCGGGGUUCUACCGUCGGUCGGGCUAACAAGUCUGUACUGGUGUGUAGAAUUUCUACCUUCUGGGGAACUAUCAUGUUAUUAAUUUAGCGUGGUGGGAAACCAGGACCUUUACCUUGAAAAAAUUAGAGUGUUCAAAGCAGGCUUACGUCUGAAUACAUUAGCACGGAAUAAUAGAAUAGGACGGUGGUCCUGUUUUGUUGGUUUCUGAAUCACCGUAAUGAUUAAUAGGGAUAGUUGGGGGCAUUAGUAUUCAAUUGUCAGAGGUGAAAUUCUUGGAUUUAUUGAAGACUAACUUCUGCGAAAGCAUUUGCCAAGGAUGUUUUCAUUAAUCAAGAACGAAAGUUAGGGGAUCGAAGACGAUCAGAUACCGUCGUAGUCUUAACCAUAAACUAUG
rnacentral:rRNA from 1 species